AUGGAGAAUAGUAAGACACUUCAUUAUUUCUAUAACUACGCUAUAUUGUUUUUCCUCGUGUGUCCGUUUAUGUUUUUCAGCAUAAAGAACUCUGCAGCUACUUAGUGUGGUGUGGACACCAGGUUAUAUCAACUGUGUCGCUGAACCCCUCCUGCAUUGGAACUGGCUACAUAGAGGCCACAGCAUGAUCAGAGAUAUGUUUUGAUGUGAGAGGAUGUCAACCCGCAGGCCUAUCAUCGCCACCUCACCCACUUUUAAGAUAACCUCUGGGCUGACUAGAGACACUAUUAUGUAAUUGUGAUGAACUGAGAGAAUAUUUGGGUUGCACUGUGAUUCAUUAAUCAUA